UGACGGAGAUCUAAAAGCGUGGAAACAGGUUCUACCCUCACCACGUAUGUCACUGUCUCCGUCCACAGCCUUUGACGGGUACCAUCUGGUCACACCUUCAAA